GAAAGCGUAAUAGCUCACUGGUCAAGCGAACCCGCGCCGAAAAUAUAACGGGGCUCAAGCUCAGUACCGAAGCCACGGGCUUUCUAACGGAAGCGGUAGGGGAGUAUUCUCAAGGAGAUACACGCCGGACGGUGACGACCGGUAACGGCCUUGAGAAGAGCUUAUGCAGGCAUGAGUAGCGAUAAACCGAGCGAGAAACUCGGUCGCCGUAAGCCCAAGGUUUCCUGGGGAAGGAUAAUCCUCCCAUGGGUUAGUCGGAUCCUAAGCCGAGGCCGAGAGGCGUAGGUGAUGGGAAGCAGGUUAAUAUUCCUGCACCACCAAGGGUGACGUUGAAGUAAGCGGGGACGGAGAAGGGUAGGCCGAGCACGGUAGAUGGCUUCCGUGUUCAAGCCGGUAGGGUGAGCAGUCAGGACCCGAUAGGGACAAACGACUGCUCGUAAGCCCGAGAGGUGAUGAGGUCUGGGCUUCGGCCCGGGAUACUCGGUGAUCCCAAACUUCCAAGAAAAGCCGCGUACAGAGUCUCUUUGGUGUCCGUACCGCAAACCGACUCAGGUGGGCGGGGUGAGUAUCCCAAGGCGCGUGAGAGAACCCUGGUUAAGGAACUCGGCAAAAUGACACCGUAACUUCGGGAGAAGGUGUGCCGCUUUGCGUGAGGAGACUAGCGCUCCGUAGCGUGAGGUGGUUGCAGAGAAAUGGGGGUUGUGACUGUUUACUAAAAACACAGGACUCUGCGAAGUCGUAAGACGACGUAUAGGGUCUGAUGCCUGCCCGGUGCUGGAAGGUUAAGGGGACGAGUCAGCGCAAGCGAAGCUCUGAACCGAAGCCCCAGUAAACGGCGGCCGUAACUAUAACGGUCCUAAGGUAGCGAAAUUCCUUGUCGGGUAAGUUCCGACCUGCACGAAUGGCAUAACAACAUCCCCGCUGUCUCGACCAGGGACUCAGCGAAAUUGUAUCGGGGGUGAAGAUACCCUCUACCCGCGGCAAGACGGAAAGACCCCAUGAACCUUUACUGCAACUUGGCAGUGAUUUUCGGGAUAUUCUGCGUAGGAUAGGUGGGAGGCUAUGAAGCCGGGCUUCUGGGUUCGGCAGAGCCAACGUUGAAAUACCACCCUGGGUAUUCUGGAAAUCUAACCUGGGCCCAUGAACUGGGUCGGGGACACUGCCUGGUGGGCAGUUUGACUGGGGCGGUCGCCUCCUAAAAAGUAACGGAGGCGUGCGAAGGUUCCCUCAGCCUGAUUGGAAACCAGGCGUAGAGUGCAAACGCACAAGGGAGCUUAACUGUGAGACCGACAGGUCGAACAGGUGCGAAAGCAGGCGUUAGUGAUCCGGUGGUUCUGUAUGGAAGGGCCAUCGCUCAUCGGAUAAAAGGUACUCUGGGGAUAACAGGCUGAUCGCGCCUGAGAGUUCAUAUCGGCGGCGCGGUUUGGCACCUCGAUGUCGGCCCAUCGCAUCCUGGGGCUGGAGCAGGUCCCAAGGGUUCGGCUGUUCGCCGAUUAAAGCGGUACGCGAGCUGGGUUUAAAACGUCGUGAGACAGUUUGGUCCCUAUCUGCCGUGGGCGUAGGACACUUGAGAGGAGCUGCCCAUAGUACGAGAGGACCUGGGUGGACGUACCUCUGGUGUUCCGGUUGUCCUGCCAAGGGCAUAGCCGGGUAGCCAUGUACGGAACGGAUAACCGCUGAAAGCAUCUAAG
rnacentral:rRNA from 1 species